rnacentral:ncRNA from 1 species
GAUCGGGAGGCCGUCUUUGGGACGAUGGCCGUGAAUGGAUCAAACCAGGCCCUCUCGUAUGGCCGCGGCGCUGGAGCCCGACAGCGCGCGC